GGUUAAGCGAAUAAGCGUACACGGUGGAUGCCUAGGCAAUCAGAGGCGAUGAAGGACGUGCUAAUCUGCGAAAAGCGUCGGUAAGGUGAUAUGAACCGUUAUACCCGACGAUAUCCGAAUGGGGAAACCCAGUAUCCAAUGGAUACUAUCAUUAACUGAAUCCAUAGGUUAAUGAGGCGAACCGGGAGAACUGAAACAUCUCAGUACCCCGAGGAAAAGAAAUCAACCGAGAUUCCCCUAGUAGCGGCGAGCGAACGGGGAACAGCCCAGAGUCUUAAUCAAUAGCAGUGUCAGGAGAACGGUCUGGAAAGUCCGGCAGUAAAGGGUGAUAGCCCCGUAUCUGAAGAUGCUGUUGUUGUGAACUCGACGAGUAGGGCGGGACACGUGUUAUCCUGUCUGAAUAUGGGGGGACCAUCCUCCAAGGCUAAAUACUCCUGAUUGACCGAUAGUGAACCAGUACCGUGAGGGAAAGGCGAAAAGAACCCCGGCGAGGGGAGUGAAAAAGAACCUGAAACCGUGUACGUACAAGCAGUAGGAGCCCCAUCACUCAAGUGCCUCGCACUGAGUGAUGCAA
rnacentral:rRNA from 1 species